GUGAGGAAUAUUGGUCAAUGGGCGAGAGCCUGAACCAGCCAAGUAGCGUGAGGGAUGACUGCCCUAUGGGUUGUAAACCUCUUUUAUAAGGGAAUAAAACGCUCCACGUGUGGAGCUUUGCAUGUACCUUUUGAAUAAGGAUCGGCUAACUCCGUGCCAGCAGCCGCGGUAAUACGGAGGAUCCGAGCGUUAUCCGGAUUUAUUGGGUUUAAAGGGUGCGUAGGCGGACUGAUAAGUCAGCUGUGAAAGUUUGCGGCUCAACCGUAAAAUUGCAGUUGAAACUGUUAGUCUUGAGUGUACAUAAGGUAGGCGGAAUUCGUGGUGUAGCGGUGAAAUGCUUAGAUAUCACGAAGAACUCCAAUUGCGAAGGCAGCUUACCGGGGUACAACUGACGCUGAGGCACGAAAGCGUGGGUAUCAAACAGGAUUAGAUACCCGAGUAGUCC
rnacentral:rRNA from 1 species